rnacentral:rRNA from 1 species
ACGAACGCAGGCGGCGUGCCUAACACAUGCAAGUCAACUUGACUGAAGGAGCAAUCUGACAGUAGAGUGGCGCAAGGGUGCGUAACGCGUAAGUAACUUGCCCCAAGGUAAGGAAUAACGUCGAGAAAUCGGCGCUAAUACCUCAUAAUGCAGCGGAUCCGCAUGGAUAUGUUGUUAAAGGUUCACCGCCUUGGGAUAGGCUUGCGUCUGAUUAGCUAGUUGGUGUGGUAACGGCACACCAAGGCUACGAUCAGUAACUGGUCUGAGAGGAUGAUCAGUCACACUGGAACUGAGACACGGUCCAGACUCCUACGGGAGGCAGCAGUGAGGAAUAUUGGGCAAUGCUCGAAAGAGUGACCCAGCAACGCCGCGUGGAGGAUGAAGGUAUUCUAUAUCGUAAACUCCUGUGAGAGCAGACGAAAGACAGAUUAUUAAUCUGGAUGACUGUAUGCUCAGAGGAAGCCCCGGCUAACUACGUG